AGAACGAACGCUGGCGGCAUGCCUAAUACAUGCAAGUCGAACGAACACUUCGGUGUUAGUGGCGCACGGGUGCGUAACGCGUGGGAAUCUGCCCUUGGGUUCGGAAUAACAGUUGGAAACGACUGCUAAUACCGGAUGAUAUCGAAAGAUCAAAGAUUUAUCGCCCAGGGAUGAGCCCGCGUAGGAUUAGCUAGUUGGUGAGGUAAAGGCUCACCAAGGCGACGAUCCUUAGCUGGUCUGAGAGGAUGAUCAGCCACACUGGGACUGAGACACGGCCCAGACUCCUACGGGAGGCAGCAGUAGGGAAUAUUGGACAAUGGGCGCAAGCCUGAUCCAGCAAUGCCGCGUGAGUGAUGAAGGCCUUAGGGUUGUAAAGGCUCUUUUACCCGAGAUGAUAAUGACAGUAUCGGAGAAUAAGCCCCGGCUAACUCCGUGCCAGACGCCGC
rnacentral:rRNA from 1 species